GACGAACGCUGGCGGCGUGCUUAACACAUGCAAGUCGAACGGUGAAGGGAAGCUUGCUUCCCGGAUCAGUGGCGAACGGUGAGUAACACGUGGGCAAUCUGCCCCAGACUUUGGGAUAACUACUCGAAAGAGUAGCUAAUACCGAAUAUUCAGCCUUGCAGGCAUCUGCGAGGCUGGAAAGUUUCUCGGUCUGGGAUGAGCCCGCGGCCUAUCAGCUAGUUGGCGAGGUAAUGGCUCACCAAGGCGACGACGGGUAGCCGGCCUGAGAGGGCGACCGGCCACACUGGGACUGAGACACGGCCCAGACUCCUACGGGAGGCAGCAGUGGGGAAUAUUGCGCAAUGGGCGAAAGCCUGACGCAGCAACGCCGCGUGCGGGAUGAAGGCC
rnacentral:rRNA from 1 species